CCUACGGGUGGCAGCAGUGAGGAAUAUUGGUCAAUGGUCGCGAGCCUGAACCAGCCAAGCCGCGUGAGGGAGGAAGGUCCUGAGUAUCGUAAACUUCUUUUGUCAGGGAAUAAAGACUGGGACGUGUCUCUUUAUGUGUGUACUUUAUGAAAAAGCAUCGGCUAACUCCGUGCCAGCAGCCGCGGUAAUACGGAGGAUGCGAGCGUUAUCCGGAUUUAUUGGGUUUAAAGGGAGCGUAGGUGGGGUGUUAAGUCAGUUGUGAAAGUCUGGGGCUCAACCUCAGAAGGGCAAUUGAUACUGGCAGUCUCGAGUAGAGGAGAGGUAGGCGGAAUUCGCGGUGUAGCGGUGAAAUGCAUAGAUAUCGCGAAGAACUCCGAUUGCGAAGGCAGCAUAC
rnacentral:rRNA from 1 species